rnacentral:rRNA from 1 species
UACAGAGGGUGCAAGCGUUAUUCGGAAUUACUGGGCGUAAAGCGUGCGCAGGCGGUUUCGUAAGUCAGAUGUGAAAGCCCCGGGCUCAACCUGGGAAUUGCAUUUGAGACUGCGUAGCUAGGGUGCGGAAGAGGGAAGCGGAAUUUCCGGUGUAGCGGUGAAAUGCGUAGAUAUCGGAAGGAACACCAGUGGCGAAAGCGGCUUGCUGGGCCAGCACUGACGUUCAGGCACGAAAGCGUGGGGAGCAAACAGG